ensembl:misc_RNA Metazoa_SRP Metazoan signal recognition particle RNA
GCUGGGCGAGGUGGCUCACGCCUGUAAUCCUAGCACUUUGGGAAGCUGAGGUGGGUGGAUCACCAGAGGCCAGGAGUUCAAGACCAGCCUGGCCAACAUGGUGAAACCCCAUCUCUA